AACGAAACAAAACAGACAGAAACCUCCCAGCUAGCCCAUAGCCUGGGCUACUGAAGCCCAAGAACAAUCACCACGGUGUGCUUGAGUUCGAGAAAAUGAAGUCUGUAACGGCAAGCGGGCUCGGCCCAGCGCCAGUAGAGAAGGCUUUCAGCUGUCUAACCGCGAACAGGGUUUCCUUCUGUAGCCCUGGCUGUCUUGGAACUCCCGAUGUCUUGGAACUUCAGGCUGUCCUCGAACUCACAGAGAUCCACCUGCCUCUGCCUCUGGAGCGCAGUUAUUAAGGGUGUCCACUAACUUAUUAUGUUAUUAACUCCAUGUCAAUGAGAUAAUACAUGAGCGAGCCCUGUGUUUCUUACACAGCCUUCUCUGAAGUUAGCCCAGCUUGUUCUUCCUUUAAAACUCUACAUUAAAACACAUUCUUGCAAAUGUUCUGUCUUUUAAAAUCUUAUUUUUCAUUAAUGUGUGUGUGUACAUCUUGGCUGUGCAUGUGGAGGUCAGACGACAGCUUU